UACGGAGGGUGCAAACGUUGUUCGGAAUCACUGGGCGUAAAGCGCACGUAGGCGGAUGUGUCAGUCAGGGGUGAAAUCCCGGGGCUCAACCUCGGAACUGCCUUUGAUACAGCACGUCUCGAGUCCGGAAGAGGUGGGUGGAAUUCCUAGUGUAGAGGUGAAAUUCGUAGAUAUUAGGAAGAACACCGGUGGCGAAGGCGGCCCACUGGUCCGGUACUGACGCUGAGGUGCGAAAGCGUGGGGAGCAAACAGG
rnacentral:rRNA from 1 species